rnacentral:rRNA from 1 species
CACCGGCGGCUCGAGUGGUGGCCACUUUUAUUGGGUCUAAAGCGUCCGUAGCCGGCUUGGCAAGUCCCCUGGGAAAUCGGGCGGCUUAACCGUCAGGCGUCCAGAGGAUACUGCCAGGCUUGGGACCGGGAGAGGUGAGAGGUACCUCAGGGGUAGGGGUGAAAUCUUGUGAUCCCUGAGGGACCACCAGUGGCGAAGGCGUCUCACUAGAACGGGUCCGACGGUCAGGGACGAAAGCUGGGGGCACGAACCGG